AUUGAACGCUGGCGGCAGGCCUAACACAUGCAAGUCGAACGAGUGGCGGACGGGUGAGUAAUGUCUGGGAAACUGCCCGAUGGAGAGGGAUAACUAAUGGAAACGGUAGCUAAUACCGCAUACCAUCGGAUGUGCCCGAAUGGGAUUAGCGAGUAGGUGGGGUAAAGGCACACCUAGGCGACGAUCCCUAGCUGGUCUGAGAGGAUGACCAGUCACACUGGAACUGAGAUACGGUCCAGACUGCUACGGGAGGCAGCAGUGGGGAAUAUUGCACAAUGGGCGAAAGCCUGAUCCAGCCAUGCCGCGUGUAUGAAGAAGGCCUUCGGGUUGUAAAGUACUUUAAGCGGGGAGGCGUUACUCGCAGAAGAAGCACCGGCUAACUCCGUGCCAGCAGCCGCGGUAAUAC
rnacentral:rRNA from 1 species